UAGGGAAUCUUCCACAAUGGACGCAAGUCUGAUGGAGCAACGCCGCGUGAGUGAAGAAGGUUUUCGGACCGUAAAGCUCUGUUGUUGGUGAAGAAGGAUAGAGGUAGUAACUGGCCUUUAUUUGACGGUAAUCAACCAGAAAGUCACGGCUAACUACGUGCCAGCAGCCGCGGUAAUCGUAGGUGGCAAGCGUUGUCCGGAUUUAUUGGGCGUAAAGCGAGCGCAGGCGGAAGAAUAAGUCUGAUGUGAAAGUCCUCGGCUUAACCGAGGAAUUGCAUCGGAAACUGUUUUCUUGAGUGCAGAAGAGGAGAGUAGAACUCCAUGUGUAGCGGUGGAAUGCGUAGAUAUAUGGAAGAAUACCAGUGGCGAAGGCGGCUCUCUGGUCUGCAACUGACGCUGAGGCUCGAAAGCAUGGGUAGCGAACAGGAUUAGAUACCCUGGUAGUCCAUGCCGUAAACGAUGAGUGCUAAGUGUUGGGAGGCUUCCGCCUCUCAGUGCUGCAGCUAACGCAUUAAGCACUCCGCCUGGGGGAGUACGACCGCAAGGUUGAAAC
rnacentral:rRNA from 1 species